rnacentral:lncRNA from 1 species
CGGGGAGUAUCCUCACCAUAGAGAACAAAUGCGACCAAACAAUUUGGUCAGUCAUCUUCUCAUGGCAAUCAAAUCUCUCCACCUCAGGCUUCGCUCUCAGAGCAGGAGAGGCUCGUGUCCUUCAGGCACGGUCUUCUUGGUACGGUCUUAUCUCGGCUAGGACGCUCUGCUCAACCGACACGACAGGAAACUUCUCUUGCGCCACCGGAGAUUGCCAAUCAGGCAACAUGGAUUGUCCCGGGGCAUACGAUUGGUCCGCAGUGACUUAUGUCUACUUUAGGAUCGGUGACGGAGGAGUCAGCAGCUACACCAUCAGUGUCGAGUACGGUUACAACCUCCCGCUAAAGGUGGUUCCGUCAAAGAGUAGCCGAACAUGUAUCGCCGCAGGUUGUAUGGUUGACUUGAACAAGACAUGUCCUGAUGAUCUUGAUCUGUUCACCGAUGGGAAACAGAUUGGCUGUAUUAGCGCGUGCCGGAAAUACAAUACGCGGGAGAUUUGCUGCACACAUGACUUCAAGUCAAAGCAAAAGUGCAAGCCGACCAUUUACACGAGGAACUUCGAGCGUGAUUGCCCGCUCGCAUAUAGCUACGCAUACAACGAUAAUAACAGUACCUUGACGUGCCCGGACUCAACUGACUUUGUUGUCACGUUUUGCCCCUCUUCUGUUCCCAAUAACACCAGGUUAAUUAAGCGUCUCUCUUUCAUUUCUAUUUUUGCUAGGGGUUGAUUUCGUCAAACAUCAUCACACGGUUCCAAAUUACAUCUUCCUUUUGGAUUAUGUAUUACGUACAGAACAUAUCCAACUAGCUAGUGCCUAGUGGUUAAUUGGGAUUAAUAUAUACCUAGGGAAAGCGGAUACAAUAUUAACUAAUUAAUGCCCUGUGGUGUUAAAAAAUAAAAAACACACAAUCAUACUUUAUUGAAAUAUCUAAAAGAUGAGAACAUACAAAAGGUUUCUCCAUUUCAGUUUCACGACUUUGGAACUUAAAAGAAUGGUAAAUCUACAUUAAAUAUGUCAUGAUUUAGGCUAAAUUAUUUGUGUAACUUAAAGUAGGAGGCUUUGGUAGUUUUUGAUGCAAUUUAUUAAUCUAGGCUUUUUAUGCAAUUCAUUUUGCAUCCCAACUCACGUAGUUAAUUUUUUUGAAACCAAAUAUAUCCGAAUAUUUUAAUAAAUCUUAGUGGAAUAAGGGUCAAGGCUCACGAGUAGUCACGCCUCAGUUAUUCUCAAACGAUCUGAGAUGUGUGGACUGAUUAUUUGGUUUGGCCAUUUUAGGAGGUUUAUUUGUAGCUUUAGUAUUUCAAUUCACGAUUUAAGUUAAUUCAGUUUUUAGGUGAAAGGCUUUUUAUUAGCAAGUUUUCCCAUGCAUGCAUGCAUAUAUAUGGACACAUUAUAUAUAUAUAUAUAUAUAUAUCCUUUAUAACAAAAAUCUUUUAGAAUGACUGUAAAACUGUAAUCUUGAUCAAGCUAAUACCAGUUUCAAACUCCGAAAAUGCAUUAGUCAUUAAUGGUUGCUAACCUUCAACAUCCCCAAAACCGAAAGGAUUGAAUGAAUGCAUUUUUCACAUACACACACAAACACAAAUGAAUAUACGUAUAAUUUUUUAUGGGGUUUAUGUACGUUUAACUUGAUAAACUAAUAUACAUAUUUAUGUUAUUUUCUUGGAGGAACACAACAGAAACUCGAUGGCUCCGUUAGCAGGACGAAAACGUAAGUAUAUUUUUUUUAUUUCUUCAUCUUAUACAAAUGUAUGAAAUUUUCAUGUUGGUUUUGUUAAUCAUAAGUUUUAUUUGAUACAUUUGCAGAUAAUUCUUUACGGAAGUUCAAACCAAUACUUGGUAUCACCUUCACUGGAACCACAUCUCUGAUGCUCAUCCAUGCACAUAGUAUAUAACUCCUACGUUUCGCUUGUUUUUAAAUUCUUGCAGGAGGCUCAGCCGCUUUAGCUGUGUUGAUCAUUAUUGUUGCGACUGUGGUGAUGGUGAGAGCAAAGAAUGCAAAAAGAAAGAGAGAUUCCAAUUACGAGAACAUUGAAGCGGUGGUAAUGUUGAAACGCUAUAGUUACGAAAACGUUAAGAAGAUGACAAACUCGUUUUCUCAUGUUCUCGGGAAAGGAGGAUUUGGAACUGUCUAUAAAGGAAAAUUACCCGAUGCAAGCAGCCGAGAUAUUGCACUAAAGAUCUUGAAGGAUUCAAAGGGGAGUGGAGAAGAUUUCAUCAAUGAAUUAUCUAGCAUGAGUAUAGCAUCUCAUGUCAAUAUCGUUUCUCUUUUUGGAUUCUGCUAUGAAAGGAGUAAGAGAGCUAUCAUUUAUGAGUUCAUGCCGAAUGGAUCCCUUGACAAGUUUAUUUCCGAGGAUAUGUCAACGAAGAUGGACUGCAAAACUUUAUACAACAUUGCGGUCGGUGUUGCUCGUGGAUUAGAGUACUUGCACAAUAGUUGUGUAUCGAAGAUUGUACAUUUCGAUAUAAAGCCACAGAAUAUACUCAUGGACGAAAAUUUUGGCCCCAAGAUUUCGGAUUUCGGUCUUGCUAAGCUUUGCAAGAAAAACGACAGCAUCAUAUCAAUGUUAGAAGCAAGAGGGACCGCAGGAUAUAUUGCUCCUGAAGUGUUUUCCAAGAGGUAUGGAGGAGCUUCGCAUAAGUCAGAUGUGUUUAGUUAUGGAAUGGUGGUGUUUGAGCUGAUCGGGGCAACGAGCAAAGAGAGAGCUGAAACUUCUAGGUCUAAUAUAAGUACAAUGUACUUUCCAGAUUGGAUCUAUGAGGAUCUCGAGAGGAAUGAAACCAUGAGACUGUUAGGAGAUCAUAUUAUCGAAGAGGAAGAGAAGAUAGUGAAGAAAAUGACAUUAGUGGGUUUGUGGUGUAUUCAGACCAAUCCAUCUGAUCGUCCAAUGAAAAAAGUCGUUGAAAUGUUAGAGGGAAGUCUAGAAGCUCUAGUGGUUCCACCUAAGCCUAUCUUGACUCCCGCGGUAAUGGCUUGGGAAGCUGUUGAAGAGAGUCAAUAGACUUCUAGUCUUUUGACACCAAGUCACUUAGAAAGAUUUUGAAUAUUAAAGCUUGUCAGAAACCCUAAUUAUGCAUUUCGAAUAGUCUCAAGUUGGUUUUUAAUUCUCCAAUACCAAAGCCAGGAAAGUUUUCAAAAUCUUGGUAUAUUUUUAUCUAUAGAAAGAAGGGGAUUGAGAUAUAUAUGAGGUCCCUUGACAUAUUGUAAGGGUUUUCUUUCUUUAUACUCUGACUCUACGAUACAAAUUCAUAUAUAUAUGUUAUUUUUCUUUGACAGUUUGUAUUUGAAACAUAUUUUAUUUUUCAUUAUAAGCCAAAUGACGGAGAGGCUGCCAUUGAUUAAUUAUUUUUCUUUUCAUCAUUUUAAUUCGCAGGAGUGUACAGUGUACUUCUUGAAUCUUGAUGUAUAAAUUAUAAAGUAUAUUUAGAUAUGAUGCAAUCAUAUCACACAUGUUUAGGGAUUCUUCACUUAAUCUAUUCCCGUAACAUACGUAAUUGUACAGCUUGUGUAAUCUUUAGCAUUUACUAGCAAAUAUGCUCUCUUUGUAUAUAACGAUGUAAUCGUUCCUCCUUCAAUACACAGAAAACUCUUUUCCAAUAUUGUUCUCUUGCUCUCUGUUUCCUACAUAAAGUGAACAAACAUGCGAUUAUAUACUGUGUGGCAAGUUCCCCGAAAAUUAUUAAUCAAUUGGAAAAGGGUAGUAGUUAGAUUAUUUCAUUCCUUCCUAUGUAUUUAAUCAUUUAUAACUUCUAGUUGCUAAUAAUUUACUGUUUAUAUAAAUUCUUAUCACAAGACACCAAAUUCUACUAAGCAACGAGGAAGAAGCAAGAGAAAACAUCUCCUUCCUUCCUAAUUAAUAAAUAUUAUACUCUUUAGUUGGUGACUAAUUUAUAGCCUAUGAAAUCUUAAUUAUCACCAAAAUACCAAGUCCUACUGACUGACGAGGAAGAAGCAAGAGAAAACAUAACCACAAAAAAUAUCAUUGUUUGGAACAUUUUUUUCUUCUCCUUAAGCUAAUGGCGGAGAGGUUGCAAUUGAUUUUCUUCCUUGCUUCAUAUUUGUUCGUAUCAGGUACGUUUUAUUCUUUUUUUUGGACUAACCGAUGAGAAUAGAAACACAACAUGUAUUAUGUAAGAAUUAUAUUUACUCAUUCAUUCGUCUCUCUUAAGUUGAUCUCAACACUACAAGAAAACAUGGCAUAUUCCUACUAAACUUCUUACGAAAUAUUUGGUAAAACAAUUUUACAACGAAUGUCCUACACAAUCACAACGAAUGUCCUACACAAUCACAAUGAAAAGUAAAAAUAAUAAGAAAUUAGUAGGAAAUUUCCUAUAAAACUAAAGCGUUAAAAAAACGGUAAGACAUUUUCUACCAAUAACUUACUAAACACAAAUUUGUAGAAAUUUGGUCCAAAUUUGGAAAGAAAGUGGUAAGUUCUAUAUGACUAUUAUGGAUAUUUCGUUGGAAAUUUCCUACGUAUUUUUACUAAAUAUUCUCUAUAAAAAAAAGCGUAGGAAAUGUGUAGGAAAUGCUGCAGCGAAUCAUAUUUCUUAUUCGAUCUCUGUUAGUCGAUUUCUUAUUCGAUCUCUCUUAGUCGAUUUCUUAUUCGUAGCUCUUAGUCGAUCGAACCAAACCGUAUAAUCGAAUGUUCUUUUUUUUUGGUGAACGGUUAUAUUAAUCGAAUGUUCUUCCUCAUACUGUAAGAGUCAUACACCUACCAGAAACAAUUCUCAGAAAGCUACGUACCACUGGUCCACUACCAAGUGCUUACAAUUAACAAUGAUCAUAUUUUUCCAAUAAUUCAAUAAUUCUUUUUUGUCUUUAUCCAAAAAAAAAAACAAAUUCUUUUUUUGCUGGGGGUUGACUAUAUCAAUACCACAUGCCCAAUGCCACAAACUAAAAUAUCAAUGUCUAGUUAGCAACGAGGAAGGUGCAAGUGAAAAACAUAACACAAAAUCAGAUUUUAUUGAUAAGUAUUCACUCAUUGGAACGUAUUUCAUUUUUUCCUGUAAGCUAACUAAUGGCGGAGGGGUUGCUAGUGAUUUUCAUCCUUGCUUCACACUUGUUCGUAUCCGGUAAGACCAUUUUCCUGUUAAUGGAUCAUCUAUUGGAUAUUUGUAAUUUUUUUUUUGGAUAUUUGUAAUUUUUUUCAUUCACUAAUCUUCACAGGAGUCUUAUCGGGGAGUAUCCUCACCAUAGAGAACAAAUGCGACCAAACAAUUUGGCCAGUGAUCUUCUCAUGGCAAUCAAAUCUCUCCACCUCAGGCUUCGCUCUCAGAGCAGGAGAGGCUCGUGCCCUUCAGGCACCGUCUUCUUGGUACGAUCUUAUCUUGGCUAGGACGCUCUGCUCAACCGACACGACAGGAAACUUCUCUUGCGCCACCGGAGAUUGCCAAUCCGGCAACGUGA